GGUGUAGGCGGCUCGAUAAGUCGAAUGUGAAAGCCCGGGGCUCAACCCUGGAAGUGCAUUCGAAACUGUCGAGCUUGAGUACGGGAGAGGGAAGUGGAAUUCCUGGUGUAGAGGUGAAAUUCGUAGAUAUCAGGAGGAACACCUGUGGCGAAGGCGGCUUCCUGGACCGAUACUGACGCUGAGACCCGAAAGCGUGGGGAGCAAACA
rnacentral:rRNA from 1 species